UCUAUUGAGGUAGAGCGUCGGAUGUAUGCCGAUGGGGGUAGAGCACUGGAUGGGCUAGGGCUGCGCGAGCGGUACCAAACCUAACCAAACUCCGAAUACCAUCGAGUCUUAUCCGGCAGACAGACGGCGGGUGCUAAGGUCCGUUGUCAAAAGGGAAACAGCCCUAACCUACAGCUAAGGUCCCCAAGUCAUAUCUAAGUGGGAAAGCAUGUGGGAAUCCCAAAACAACCAGGAGGUUGGCUUAGAAGCAGCCAUCCUUUAAAGAAAGCGUAACAGCUCACUGGUCUAAACAAGGGUUCCUGCGGCGAAGAUGUAACGGGGCUAA
rnacentral:rRNA from 1 species